GUGGAUAAGCAAGUGACUUCAUUUACAUUUUCCACACAUUCCCUCCUUGGGAGGGAUAUCAUAGAUAAAUAUGGCAUCACCUGAUUAUUUGCCUUGGAUUGGUGAGUGAAAAAAAAAAAAAAGAAAAGAAAAAUAGCCACAAAGAAAAACGGAGCUUGGCGUCUCAUUCAUAAAAAGAAGUAGGAGGAACAUAGAAGAAAAUAAAAGGAAGAGAAUGGGAACGUGACAUGAAAACCAGAAAUGGAAACAUUUUUGAGAGAUAAGAGACUUAGACAGACUGAAGGAAGAGAAUUAAAUAUAAGCAUGUGAGGAAGAAGAAACACAAGUGUGAUGAAAAACAAAACAAAACAAAACAAUAAUAAUAACAGCAACUAUAAAUUGAAAGUCUAGAAAAGUUACACAUAUUCAGGAAAAGGAAAAGCUAAAUAACAAAGGAACAAGUUUAAGCAUUAGUAAAUUCAGUUUUAUUUAUUCUAAUCCUUGCAUUUAGUUACUUGGCAGCUUUUCCAUAGCUGUGUGCACUUGGAAAAAGAGAAGAGCUUUAUGUUACUUUAAGGAGUUGACUCAUUACCUUUUGCAUCAGUUCCAAAAUAUAUUCAAUAUAUCCAACAAUAAAAACAUUUUCAGAAUCUUAAAGGAGACUGUUUACAUUUUACAAAAAUAAAAGCCAUAAGAAUAAGCUUUCUUUAUUUUCAUGUUUUAAUAACAGUUCAUGACAAAUUAGUAUUUCUAAAUAAUCAGAUUGUUUUUACUCUAAAUAAUUAUAAAGGUUUUCAGUGCAUUUUUGUUUACCCAAAGGUAGUUUAGAAAACCAUGAAGAGGUCUUUCUAGUUACCAGUUGCAGUUAGUCAUACAAUUCAGAGGAAGAAGUUCUGUCAAUGAAAAAGAAAGCUUUUCAAAUGAGAUAUCUGGAUAUUACAGUAGCAUAUCAAAGACAUCGCUUUUUUCAUCUGUUCCUGUAUAGUCACAGUGAGUAUUCUGAGCACAGGUAAAAAGCUGUUCUCAGAUACCACUCUGUGUUGACAAGAAAGAAGCACUGUGGUGAUGCUGCCUAGUCUUUUCACACCCUCAUCUCCCAAAUGGUGCAUGCAGACUGUAAGCCCCACACUACAGGAUAUUGAAUUUCUAGUCUUAUAACUGCUUUUUCUUCUGCUUCCAAAGAGAUA
rnacentral:lncRNA from 1 species